CAACUCAUCCCCCUUUCCCCCUUGAUGAACAUUGACGGGUGCCUCCAGCAUGACCCUGGCCGGUGAUAUGAACAAGAGGAAUUUCAUUUUCGCCACCAAGUCGACACCGGGCUGUGAGGCAUACUUGGGACUCAGCCUAACAUGAGUCUGUACCGGUCUUCACCACGAGAACAGUAAAAGACGGGCGUACCUCUCUCUGACGGGACCCCUAAAGAAGACACCAUAGAUAAACUUCCAGGUGAAGUGAAGAUUUCUCGUCCAGAAACGUGCGAACACCACCGGCAAGCUGAGUUACAUAGAGUUGAUGCCUCGCUCCCAUGGGAGUUAUGACGUGGAGGGCGCUACCAGCGGGGGUCCCGGACCCGUACCGGAGGAGGUACCGGUGACGUCCGGCCGCCGGAGGUGCGCGUGUAUCUCCGUCGUGCUGCUGCUCGCCAUGUGUGCUGUCGCCAUCGGUCUGGCGUUAGGGAUCUACUUCGGCCUGUACUGGAGCGGCGCCGCACAGGUCGCGGGCACGACAACACCCAGCACCACUGA